rnacentral:rRNA from 1 species
AGUGAACGCUGGCGGUAGGCCUAACACAUGCAAGUCGAACGGCAGCACAGUAAGAGCUUGCUCUUACGGGUGGCGAGUGGCGGACAGGUGAGGAAUACAUCGGAAUCUACUUUUUCGUGGGGGAUAACGUAGGGAAACUUACGCUAAUACCGCAUUCGACCUACGGGUGAAAGCAGGGGAUCUUCGGACCUUGCGCGAUUGAAUGAGCCGAUGUCGGAUUAGCUAGUUGGCGGGGUAAAGGCCCACCAAGGCGACGAUCCGUAGCUGGUCUGAGAGGAUGAUCAGCCACACUGGAACUGAGACACGGUCCAGACUCCUACGGGAGGCAGCAGUGGGGAAUAUUGGACAAUGGGCGCAAGCCUGAUCCAGCCAUACCGCGUGGGUGAAGAAGGCCUUCGGGUUGUAAAGCCCUUUUGUUGGGAAAGAAAAGCAGCAGGUUAAUACCCCGCUGUUCUGACGGUACCCAAAGAAUAAGCACCGGCUAACUUCGUG